rnacentral:rRNA from 1 species
AUUGAACGCUGGCGGCAUGCCUUACACAUGCAAGUCGAACGGCAGCAUGAUCUAGCUUGCUAGAUUGAUGGCGAGUGGCGAACGGGUGAGUAAUACAUCGGAACGUGCCCUGUAGUGGGGGAUAACUAGUCGAAAGAUUAGCUAAUACCGCAUACGACCUGAGGGUGAAAGUGGGGGACCGCAAGGCCUCAUGCUAUAGGAGCGGCCGAUGUCUGAUUAGCUAGUUGGUGAGGUAAAGGCUCACCAAGGCGACGAUCAGUAGCUGGUCUGAGAGGACGAUCAGCCACACUGGGACUGAGACACGGCCCAGACUCCUACGGGAGGCAGCAGUGGGGAAUUUUGGACAAUGGGGGCAACCCUGAUCCAGCAAUGCCGCGUGUGUGAAGAAGGCCUUCGGGUUGUAAAGCACUUUUGUCCGGAAAGAAAUCGCACUUACUAAUAUUAGGUGUGGAUGACGUACCGAAGA